UAUGUCACGCCCUCUACUUCUAGGGCCAGAUAGGGGCAGCCUCUCUUUUCUCUUCUCCCCCCUCCCUCUUCUCUUUCUCCCUCUCUCUAAGCAGGUGUUGGUGUGAUGCAGCUUCAGGGCGGACAGGUGCAGCCACUUACUAAUCAGCGGAUCGAUCCGUGUGGCGGGGAGAGGAGCGCUCUCAUUCAUUCACCCGCUGCCAUAAAAACCAGACGCUUCCCACAACCCGACGCUGGACCGUAACCUGAAAAUCCCUUGCCCACUCCGCCUGCUCUUCCCGUCUGCGUACCCAGCUCUCCUGCUCUUCAUCCCAGCUCCGUCCAGGACGCCGCCUCACGCCAUCACCACCUGCCUCUCUCCCUCCAGUCGGAGUUCACGGACUGCCUGCUCACUCACUCUCUCGCUAGCUCUGGUAGUACCCGACCCUGUCUCGCGUUUUGCAGACAGCGCUUUUUGUUAUUUGUUCUGACCCUGUCUCGCGUUUUGCAGACAGCGUUUUUUGUUAUUUGUUCUGACCCUGUCUCGCGUUUUGCAGACAGCGUUUUUUGUUAAUUGUUCUGAUCCUGUCUCGCGUUUUUGCAGACAGCGCUUUUGUUAAUUAUUACUGUUCCAGUCUCGCGUUUUGCAGACAGCGCUUUUUGGUUAAUUAUUACUGUUCCAGUCUUGCGUUUUUACAGACAGCGUUUUUGUUAGUUAUUACUGAUCCUGUCUCGCGUUUUUCAGACAGCGCUUUUUGUUAAUUGUUACUGCCCACCUUAGUUCCGUUUUCCUAUUUCUGUUUGCAUUUUUGGACCAAAUAAAUAUCUGUUUAACUGAACUGCUCUGACUUGAGUCUCUUUGUCCGCAUUUGAGCCUCGGUGCCUGAACCGUGACAGUACGGUCCAGCCAAGAUGAGCUCAGCAGACAAAGAGACUGGCGCGGAGGCAGUCUCCCCCGCUACCACGUUUCAACAAGCUAUUGCUAAUCAGGAAUGCGUGUUAGCUCAACAUGAUGAAUUGUUGCGUUCCCUGGUCAGUAGUAAUCAUGUUAUGCUUAACCAGAUCUCUGAACUAACCACCCAGUUAAGAGGGUUGGCUGGUCAAAUUGCUAAGACUGCUCCCCCAGGCUCAGCGUUAGCCGCUAAUCCUGUCUUGGCUAGCGUUAGUGUUCCACCUCCCUCUCGUGAACCUGUAGUGCCUGUACCUGAACGUUACAGGGGGGAGUUAGGAUCCUGCCAGGCCUUUUUAACUCAGGUUUCACUAGUUUUUGAGAUGCAGCCUCUCUCCUAUGCCUCCGAUCGUUCAAAAAUAGCUUACACCAUCGGGUUAUUGUCAGGACAGACGAGAGAGUGGGGCACGGCUGUUUGGGGACGCCAGGACAGUGCCUGUGAGUCCUACGCGGCGUUCGUGGCAGAGAUGAGGAAGGUCUUUGACCACCCAGUAAGCGGUAACAACGCCAGCCACCGCCUCAUGGCCAUCUCCCAAGGGACAAGGAGUGUCGCAGAGUUUGCGGUGGAGUUCCGGACGCUGGCUGCAGAGAGCUCCUGGAACGACGGCGCGCUCCAGGGAGCCUUUUACAAAGGGCUAGGUGAGGCCCUAAAGGACGAGCUGGCAACUCGUGACGACUCUCCAGACCUAGACCACCUCAUCGCAUUAGCGAUUAAGAUUGACAACCGGCUCCGGGAAAGGAGGCGAGAACGCAGCGCCCGCUCUGUACUAGGACCCACCAGAACCCCAAGUGCCCCAGGCCCCAGAACUCAGCCGGACCCCCCGCCGGAGUCUCUCCCAGAGCCAAUGCAGAUCGGCCGGGCCCACCUCACUGAGUCGGAGAAGUUACAACGUCGGUCAGCAAACCUGUGCCUGUAUUGUGGGCGUCCGGGUCACUACAUUGCCUCCUGCCCCGCCCGUCCGCCAAAAGGUCCGGCUCGCCAGUGACGGGGGAUCUGCUGGUGAGCCGUACUACUACUUCGCCCCCACAACGGCUCCAAGUGGCCAUAACCCUGUGUUGGCAGCGUCAGCCUAUCCCUCUUCUAGCCCUGGUGGAUUCUGGGGCUGAAGAGAAUUUCCUGGACUCUCGCCUGGCGUCCCAGCUCGGCAUUCCCACAGAAACUCUUGACGCGCCCUUGGAGGCUCGUGCUCUGAAUGGACUCCACCUGGCCCAAGUCCGCCAUAAGACUGUUCCGGUCUCCCUGGUGGUGGGGGGCAACCACCAUGAGACAAUUUCCUUCCACCUCAUCGACCAGUCUAGUCCACCCUUGGUUCUUGGGUUCCCUUGGCUCCAGGUCCAUAAUCCCCACAUUGACUGGCAGCAGGGGGAGAUCCGUUCCUGGAGCCGGGAGUGCUACCAACGUUGCCUGACAUCUGCCCUGACUCCUGAAACUCGAGCCAGCCCCCGGGCCCUACCUUCCGAACCCCUCAACCUGGACCUUGUACCUUCUGUGUACCACGAUCUGGCCAUGGUUUUUAGCAAGGAUCAAGCCCUGUCUCUGCCCCCACACAGACCCUACGACUGUGCUAUAGACUUACUUCCCGGAGCUACACUACCCCGUUGCAGACUGUACAACCUGUCUAGACCUGAACAGGCCACCAUGGAGUCCUACAUCCGCGAUUCUCUGGCGGCUGGCAUCAUCCGCCCCUCUUCAUCCCCUGUCGGCGCUGGAUUCUUUUUUGUCUCCAAGAAGGACAAAUCCCUCCGUCCCUGCAUAGACUUCCGGGGCCUCAAUGACAUUACUGUUAAGAAUACUUACCCCCUUCCCCUAAUCAAUUCUGCCUUCACCCCGCUGCAUGGAGCCUCUGUCUUCACCAAACUGGAUCUUAGAAAUGCCUACCACCUCAUCCGAAUCCGGGAGGGCGACGAGUGGAAGACCGCCUUCAAUACUCCCCUGGGACACUUUGAAUACCUGGUCAUGCCCUUCGGCCUCACUAACGCCCCCGCAGUUUUCCAGAACCUCAUCAACGACGUCUUGAGGGACAUGCUCAAUCGGUUCGUCUUCGUCUACCUGGAUGACAUCUUAAUAUACUCCCGAAACCUUGAAGAACAGGUCUGCCAUGUCCGCCAGGUCCUCGAACGUCUCCUCCAGAACCGCCUCUUCGUCAAGGCAGAGAAAUGCGAGUUCCACGCAUCCACUGUGGCUUUCCUGGGAUUCAUCAUCUCCUCCGGGGAGGUCAAGAUGGACCCAUUAAAGGUGGAGGCAGUGACUGAGUGGCCCCGUCCCGAAGACCGGAGACAGCUUCAGCGCUUCCUUGGUUUUGCAAACUUCUACCGCCGUUUCAUCCGAAAUUACAGCUCUGUUGCAGCCCCCCUGACCACCCUCACUUCCACCACCAAGAUCUUUUGUUGGACCCCUGAAGCAAACAAGGCCUUCUCUGAGCUGAAGCAACGCUUUGUUUCGGCGCCUAUCCUGAUCCAGCCAGAUCCCGAGAGACAGUUCAUCCUGGAGGUGGAUGCCUCGGACACCGGGGUAGGGGCAGUCCUGUCCCAGCGGGCUGCGACAGACCAAAAACUACACCCCUGUGCCUUCUUCUCACGGCGUCUUACCCCCGCAGAGAGGAACUAUGAUGUCGGAGAUCGCGAGCUGUUGGCCGUCAAGCUCGCUCUGGAGGAAUGGCGGCAUCUGUUGGAGGGUGCCCUGCAGCCUUUCAUCGUGUGGACAGACCACAAGAACCUGGAAUACAUCAGGUCGGCCAGGAGGAUGAAUUCCCGCCAGGCCCGCUGGUCCCUCUUCUUCAGCCGCUUCAACUUCUCCAUCACUUAUCGCCCCGGGUCCAGGAACACCAAGCCUGAUGCCCUGUCCCGUCAGUUCUCCGGAGAGAACGCCCUGCCAGACCCAGAACCCAUCUUGCCCCAGACUCGCAUUGUCGCCUCCCUCACUUGGGAGGUUGAGGCCCAAGUACUCCGGGCCCUAGAACAGCAACCUGACCCCGGAGGCGGUCCCCCAAACCGCCUGUUUGUCCCAGAAGCCGUCCGCCCGCAGGUCCUCAUGUGGGGGCAUACCUCUAAGUUCGCCUGUCAUCCCGGAUCUGCCCGCACCUUAGAGGUCCUCCGGCAACGGUUCUGGUGGCCCACCAUGGAGGCAGACACCCGUGAGUUCACCCUGGCCUGCUCCGUCUGUGCCCGCAACAAAACGUCCAAUCAACCCAGCUCCGGAUUCCUGCGGCCGCUUCCCAUUCCCAGGAGACCCUGGUCCCACAUUGCAGUGGAUUUUGUCACAGGCCUCCCUCCUUCCCAGGGCAACACCGCCAUAUUAACCAUUGUCGACCGGUUCUCCAAAUCUGCCCAUUUCCUUCCCCUGCCCAAGUUACCCACAGCCAUUAAGACUGCAGAUCUUCUGGUCUCUCAGGUUUUCAGGAUUCACGGCAUCCCUUCCGACAUAGUCUCCGACCGUGGUCCCCAGUUCACGUCAGAGGUGUGGAGGGCGUUUUGUAAGGCUCUGGGGGCCACGGUCAGUCUCUCUUCUGGUUUCCACCCACAAUCAAACGGCCAGACGGAACGGGCCAAUCAGUCUCUAGAGACUUUCCUACGCUGUGUGGCCUCAGAACACCCUACGACCUGGAGCAAUCAACUCCCCUGGGUGGAGUACGCUUACAACUCCCUGUCUAACUCUUCCUCUGGACUGUCCCCCUUCCAGUGCGUCCUGGGAUACCAGCCCCCCUGUUUCCAGCUUCUGAAGAGGAGAUUGUCAUACCCUCGGUGCAAAGCUUCGUCAGGAGGUGCAAACGAACUUGGAGGAAGGUUCGGGUCGCCCUCCGCCGGGCCUCCUUGAGAAUGGAGCAACAGGCCAACCGUCGCCGUUCCCCUGCUCCUGCCUACGCCCCGGGCCAGAAGGUUUGGCUCAGGGCCAAGGAUCUCCCACUCCGGGUGGAGUCAAAGAAGUUGGCCCCACGCUUUGUCGGUCCGUUCGAGGUGGAGAGGGUCAUUAACCCCGCUGCCGUCCGGCUUAAGCUGCCCCGGUCCAUGAAGAUUCAUCCCACGUUCCAUGUUUCGCAGCUGAAGCCGGUACGGGAGAGUCCUUUGGCCCCACCCGUCCAUCCCCCUCCUCCGCCCAGGAUAGUGGACGAUGGGCCAGUCUACACUGUCAGUCGCUUGCUGGAUGUCCGUCGGCGGGGUAGAGGGGUCCAGUUCUUGGUCGACUGGGAGGGAUAUGGGCCAGAGGAGCGCAGCUGGGUUCCCCGUCGCCAGAUCCUGGACCACACGUUGGUCAGCGACCUCUACCGCCGCCACCCAGAGAAGCGCCUUCGUGCACCUGGAGGUGCACGUAGGGGGGUACUGUCACGCCCUCUACUUCUAGGGCCAGAUAGGGGCAGCCUCUCUUUUCUCUUCUCCCCCUCCCUCUUCUCUUUCUCCCUCUCUCUAAGCAGGUGUUGGUGUGAUGCAGCUUCAGGGCGGACAGGUGCAGCCACUUACUAAUCAGCGGAUCGAUCCGUGUGGCGGGGAGAGGAGCGCUCUCAUUCAUUCACCCGCUGCCAUAAAAACCAGACGCUUCCCACAACCCGACGCUGGACCGUAACCUGAAAAUCCCUUGCCCACUCCGCCUGCUCUUCCCGUCUGCGUACCCAGCUCUCCUGCUCUUCAUCCCAGCUCCGUCCAGGACGCCGCCUCACGCCAUCACCACCUGCCUCUCUCCCUCCAGUCGGAGUUCACGGACUGCCUGCUCACUCACUCUCUCGCUAGCUCUGGUAGUACCCGACCCUGUCUCGCGUUUUGCAGACAGCGCUUUUUGUUAUUUGUUCUGACCCUGUCUCGCGUUUUGCAGACAGCGUUUUUUGUUAUUUGUUCUGACCCUGUCUCGCGUUUUGCAGACAGCGUUUUUUGUUAAUUGUUCUGAUCCUGUCUCGCGUUUUUGCAGACAGCGCUUUUGUUAAUUAUUACUGUUCCAGUCUCGCGUUUUGCAGACAGCGCUUUUUGGUUAAUUAUUACUGUUCCAGUCUUGCGUUUUUACAGACAGCGUUUUUGUUAGUUAUUACUGAUCCUGUCUCGCGUUUUUCAGACAGCGCUUUUUGUUAAUUGUUACUGCCCACCUUAGUUCCGUUUUCCUAUUUCUGUUUGCAUUUUUGGACCAAAUAAAUAUCUGUUUAACUGAACUGCUCUGACUUGAGUCUCUUUGUCCGCAUUUGAGCCUCGGUGCCUGAACCGUG